rnacentral:rRNA from 1 species
UGAAUACGAGACGCUAAGGCGUUGAAGUAGUGUAUGUCAUACUUCCAAGAAAAGCUUGCACUGUCAUAGAUAGAAAACGCCUGUACCAUAACCGACACAGGUGGGUAGGUAGAGUAUACUAAGGGGCGCGAGAUAACUCUCUCUAAGGAACUCGGCAAAAUAACUCCGUAACUUCGGGAGAAGGAGUGCCUUAUUUAUAAGGCUGCAAUAACAAGAUCCAAGCAACUGUUUAUCAAAAACACAGGUCUCCGCUAAGUCGUAAGACGAUGUAUGGGGGCUGACGCCUGCCCAGUGCCAGAAGGUUAAAGAAGUUGGUUAGCAAUAGCGAAGCUGAUAACUGAAGCCCUGGUGAACGGCGGCCGUAACAAUAACGGUCCUAAGGUAGCGAAAUUCCUUGUCGGGUAAGUUCCGACCCGCACGAAAGGCGUAAUGAUUUGGAUACUGUCUCGGAGAGGGGCUCGGUGAAAUAGACUUGUCUGUGAAGAUGCGGACUACCUGCACCAGGACAGAAAGACCCUAUGAAGCUUUACUGUAACUUGAAAUUGAAAUUGGACUUUAUUCGCGCAGUAUAGGUGGGAGGCGUUGAUUGUAAUCUUGCGGGAUUAUUGGAGCCAUCAGUGAGAUACCACCCUUGUAAUGUUAGAUUUUUUACUUUGAAUCAUUAUCUGGUCAAAGAACAGUUUCAGGCGGGCAGUUUGACUGGGGCGGUCGCCUCCUAAACGGUAACGGAGGCGUACAAAGGUUUCCUCUGAACGGUUAGAAAUCGUAUCUAGAGUGUAAAGGCAUAAGGAAGCUUGACUGUGAGACCUACAAGUCGAGCAGGGACGAAAGUCGGUCUUAGUGAUCUGACGGUACUGAGUGGAAAGGCCGUCACUCAACGGAUAAAAGUUACUCUAAGGAUAACAGGCUGAUCUCCCCCAAGAGUUCACAUCGACGGGGAGGUUUGGCACCUCGAUGUCGGCUCAUCGCAUCCUGGGGCGGUAGUACGUCCCAAGGGUUGGGCUGUUCGCCCAUGAAAGCGGUACGCGAGCUGGGUUCAGAACGUCGUGAGACAGUUCGGUCCAUAUCCGGUGUAGGCGUUAGAAUAUUGAGAGGAGCCUUCUUUAGUACGAGAGGACCGAGAAGGACAUACCUCUGGUGUACCAGUUAUCGUGCCAACGGUAAACGCUGGGUAGCUAUGUAUGGAGUGGAUAACCGCUGAAAGCAUCUAAGUGGGAAGCCCACCUCAAGAUAAGUAUUCUCAUC